rnacentral:rRNA from 1 species
UACGUAGGGUGCAAGCGUUAAUCGGAAUUACUGGGCGUAAAGCGUGCGCAGGCGGUUUUGUAAGACGGAUGUGAAAUCCCCGGGCUCAACCUGGGAACUGCAUUCGUGACUGCAAGGCUAGAGUGUGUCAGAGGGAGGUGGAAUUCCGCGUGUAGCAGUGAAAUGCGUAGAGAUGCGGAGGAACACCGAUGGCGAAGGCAAUCCCCUGGGCCUGCACUGACGCUCAUGCACGAAAGCGUGGGGAGCAAACAGG